rnacentral:rRNA from 1 species
UACAGAGGUCCCAAGCGUUGUUCGGAUUCACUGGGCGUAAAGGGUGCGUAGGUGGUCAGGUAAGUCGGAUGUGAAAUCUCCGAGCUCAACUCGGAAACUGCAUUGGAAACUACCUGGCUCGAGGGUUGGAGGGGGGACUGGAAGUGCUUGGUGUAGCAGUGAAAUGCGUAGAUAUCGAGAGGAACACCAGUGGCGAAGGCGAGUCUCUGGACGACUCCUGACACUGAGGCACGAAAGCUAGGGGAGCAAACAGG